rnacentral:rRNA from 1 species
GACGAACGCUGGCGGCGUGCCUAACACAUGCAAGUCGAACGGAAGUAAGUGCUUCGGUAUUUACUUUAGUGGCGAACGGGUGAGUAACGCGUGAGGAACCUGCCUUUCAGUGGGGGACAACAGUUGGAAACGACUGCUAAUACCGCAUGACGCUUCUUAGGGGCAUCCCUGAGAAGUCAAAGCUUUAUGUGCUGAAAGAUGGCCUCGCGUCUGAUUAGCUAGUUGGUGGGGUAACGGCCCACCAAGGCGACGAUCAGUAGCCGGUCUGAGAGGAUGAACGGCCACAUUGGGACUUGAGAUACGGCCCAG